AGCCUACGGGAGGCAGCAGUGGGGGAUAUUGCACAAUGGGGGGAACCCUGAUGCAGCGACGCCGCGUGGGUGAAGGAGCGUUUCGGCGCGUAAAGCCCUAUCGGCAGGGAAGAAGGAGGACGGUACCUGACUAAGAAGCCCCGGCUAACUACGUGCCAGCAGCCGCGGUAAUACGUAGGGGGCAAGCGUUAUCCGGAAUUACUGGGUGUAAAGGGAGCGUAGGCGGUGAUGCAAGUCAGAUGUGAAAACCCGGGGCUCAACCCCGGGGGUGCAUUUGAAACUGUGUGACUG
rnacentral:rRNA from 1 species